UACGUGGGGUGCGAGCGUUAAUCGGAAUUAUUGGGCGUAAAGAGCUCGUAGGCGGUCUGUUACGUCCGCUGUGAAAACCCAGGGCUUAACCCUGGGCUUGCAGUGGAUACGGGCAGACUAGAGGCAGGUAGGGGAGAAUGGAAUUCCCGGUGUAGCGGUGAAAUGCGCAGAUAUCGGGAGGAACACUGGUGGCGAAGGCGGUUCUCUGGGCCUGACCUGACGCUGAGGAGCGAAAGCGUGGGGAGCGAACAGG
rnacentral:rRNA from 1 species